rnacentral:rRNA from 1 species
AUUGAACGCUGGCGGCAGGCCUAACACAUGCAAGUCGAAUGGUAACAGGAAACAGCUUGCUGUUUCGCUGACGAGUGGCGGACGGGUGAGUAAUGUCUGGGAAACUGCCUGAUGGAGGGGGAUAACUACUGGAAACGGUAGCUAAUACCGCAUAACGUCGCAAGCCCAAAGAGGGGGACCUUCGGGCCUCUUGCCAUCAGAUGUGCCCAGAUGGGAUUAGCUAGUAGGUGGGGUAACGGCUCACCUAGGCGACGAUCCCUAGCUGGUCUGAGAGGAUGACCAGCCACACUGGAACUGAGACACAGUCCAGACUCCUACGGGAGGCAGCAGUGGGGAAUAUUGCACAAUGGGCGCAAGCCUGAUGCAGCCAUGCCGCGUGUAUGAAGAAGGCCUUCGGGUUGUAAAGUACUUUCAGCGGGGAGGAAGGGAGUAAAGUUAAUACCUUUGCUCAUUGACGUUACCCGCAGAAGAAGCACCGGCUAACUCCGUG